rnacentral:lncRNA from 1 species
CGGACCUCGUAGUUCCUGGGGAGCGGCCGGCGGCGCGACCUGCCAUUUUGCGCGUUGGCGUGGGGCAUGCCGGGGCUCGUAGUCCCAGAGGAGGACGGCAAGCCUCCAUCUUGUAGCGCCAGGCUGGGAUGGAGGCGACGCGCGGUGCAGGCCCGGCUGCCGCACACGGUCCCGAAGGCAGGCGGCCGCUACAGGCUUGGCCUGAACAGCUGCCGUUGUCAGCUUGCCCGCACACCGGCUUUGCACGAACCUUGCACUGCUAAGAAACAUUCCCAGAGAAGCGUGCGCAAAAGCACCUUGUGCCUAAGGAAUCUUCCAUCCCAGGGCACCGUGCCAGGCAGGAAUGCUUUUCUCCGUGUUUCGGCCUACGCUACAAGCGGAGCAUUACGAAGCCGACCCUCCGCCGGAGGCAGCCUUGCACGCGCAGCCAGCAGCGGCAGGGCGCAGCUCGCGCGAGCUGGGCUGCCUCUGCCCGGGCUCCAGGAGUCAUGA